rnacentral:lncRNA from 10 species
AUAUAUUAUUUAUGUGGUAGUGACAGUACUCAUUUUAUUGGGUAUUAUUCUAAUUAAUUCUAAAAGGUGAGCUUUUGGGCUCAUGGUAACUAGGAUCCUGCACUGGCCCAGAUCACCCUUAUCACACUAUUGUCCAAGUCAACUGCCUACUGGUUACAUUGUCUCAUAAACACAGUGAAAAGGCUUAAGCGCAUCAAAAAUAAAUGUUUGUUUCACUAUUAUUAUUAUUUUUUUUUGAAACUGGGUCUCGCAUUUUAAAGCUAAAGUAAUCAAGUCAGUAUGGUAUUGGCACAGAUAGAAAUGCAGAUCAGUGAAACAGAUGAGAGAGUCCAAAUAGACCUACACGUUUUUGGAGUAUUUAUUUUCAGCAUAGGUGCCAAGAUAACUCAAUAGGGAAAGGACAGUCUUCAAUAUAUGAUGCUGGAACAAUUGGACAUCCAUAUGCAAAAAAGUGAACCUCGAUUCUUACCCCAUACCAUGUACAAAUAUUAACUGAAAAUGAAUCACAGACCCAAACACAAGUAACCAUAAAAAUUCUAGAAGAAAUAGGACAAAAUUUUUGUGCCCUUAUAAGCAAAGCUUUCUUAGCUAACAUACUUAUCUGUAAAAAAAAGAUCGAUAAAUCAGACUAUGUCAAAAUUACCAACUCAAGAGAAAUGAAAACAUGUCCAUGUUUUAUAGGUGAACAUUUAUAUAUUUUUAUGUAAACUUUAUUCCUAAUUGCUCAAAACUGGAAAUAUCCCAAAUGUCCACUACAAAGAAACCAAAUGCGGUACACCCAUAGAAGGGAACACUCUUCAGCAAUAAAAAAGGAAUGUAUUAUUGAUAUAUGCAAUAACACAGAUGAACUUCAAAUGCAUUAUGCUAAAUGAAAAGAAGUCAGACUCAAAGGGGUACAUAUAUACAAUUUGCAUUUGUAUGACAUAUUACAAAUGGGAAAAUUAUAGGGUCAGAAAACACAUCAGUGAUUGACAGAGCUAUGGAUGGUAGGGGUAGAGGACUGACUAUAAUGAGAUGUCAGGACAUCUUUUUUGCAGCAAUGGAAAUGCUCUAAUAUUUUAAUUGUGAUGGUGGUUUUAUGGCUAUAUACAUUUGUCAAAAUCAUCAAACUAUAUAUUUUAAAAGAAUGAAUUUUAUUGUAUGCAAAUUAUAACUCAGUAAAAUAAAACAACAAAACCCCCCCCACAAUAAUGCUUUUGUUGGAGAUGGUCAGGAUUUGUACAUCACAGGCAGGAUGUACUUGUUUGGACUUGAACAGUACUAGAAAUGAAACACAGCACUUAGUAAGUUUCCAAGUUGUUAGUUUUCUACAUGGCAGCACACUACAUGUUCAUUAGAAAGUCCCAGUUGAAUAGAAAAAUUAUAUGACUAGAGUUCCUUAAGACCAAGGUAAACUGUGUAUAUAAUUAUACAAUAAAUUCCAUUCAUUUUGGCAAACAUUUAUUGAAUGCUUACUAGUACCAGACACUGGGGUAGAAACUGAGUGGGAGAAAAACAGAUACGUGAGGCAUAAAACAGGGUCUCCUGGGACUCACAGGAGUACAUCUAAGCCAUCCAUUCAUAAGCUAUCAUUGUGAAGUGA